rnacentral:rRNA from 1 species
UACGGAGGGUGCGAGCGUUAAUCGGAAUUACUGGGCGUAAAGCGUGCGUAGGCGGCUGCCUAAGUUGGAUGUGAAAGCCCCGGGCUCAACCUGGGAACUGCAUCCAAAACUGGGCAGCUAGAGUGCGGAAGAGGAGUGUGGAAUUUCCUGUGUAGCGGUGAAAUGCGUAGAUAUAGGAAGGAACACCAGUGGCGAAGGCGACACUCUGGUCUGACACUGACGCUGAGGUACGAAAGCGUGGGGAGCAAACAGG